CCACCCCGCCCCCUUCCCUCUCCGUCUCAUCUCUCUCCCAUCUCUCUCUCGCUCCUCCUCUCCCAGAUCCGGCGCUGCGCCUCUGGCGGGCCGUCGCCGCCGCCUCCACCACGGCGACCCUCCUCCGUCCGUCCGGCUCCCUCGCCUGUCACCUCCCCCUCGCGCCCCACUCCGCCUCCCCGGUGUCGGCGCUCCUGGGCGUCGUGGUGUCUCCUCCCUGACGGAGCGCCUCCCACCUGUGAGUGCCUCCCACUCUCCUUCCCCUUCCCCUUAUCCUUGGAGCUCCUGCCCAGCAGUGCCGCCGCCAUUGGAGCUCGUCCUCUCCGUCCUCGCCUCCAUCUCCUCUCCGUCCUCGCCUCCAUCUCCCUGCCGCCCGCCGGAUCCCCACCAACCCGAGCUACUCCCUGGUCCCGUGGUCUGCUGCGCCUUGGAGGACGAUCCUCCCCUGCUCCCCGCGCUGGACGUCGACGAUCCCGUGGUCUGUCUCCCUAUUCAAAUCCUCCCUCGUUCCUCAAUUUGCAACCUGUCUGUUUUUUGGAUCUAGAUUUUGUGGGGAUUAAUGGCAUCCUUUAAGUAUAUUUCAGAGACGCACAAGUGUAGCAUCUGCAGGUGGCUUGAGGAACUGUAUCAGGAUUGCGGCAAUCUUCUACUCCUGCAUCUAUUUUUUUUUUUUUGCCCUUGGUUCAGAAAGGUACAUGGGGAAUUACUUCUGUUCUACAUUUUAUUUCUUCAGGGGUUCGAUGCAGUGCUCGAUUCAGAGUCAUCCAUUGCGGGGCCCUAUCCAGUUACUAUUUAAUCCUGUGAUUUUGUUUUUACUCUGUUGGUUGGGUGCAAAUUAGACAUCUGUAUAUCUGUUGGUUCGUUGUUUUAAAUAUGACUGACUCUGUUACUUUGUAUCUGAAUUGUAUCAAACUAUAAUAUGUUGUCCCAACAUGCAUAAUAUUUUGUGCCACAUCUGGAUUGAUCCUUGUUUGUCCAUAUCAAUAGCUGAAUAGUAUUUUACUGUGGCUAGUUGCAUGUACAGAUUACUUACAUGAAUGCAAUAUUGCUAAUUUGUUGUGCCUAUUUACUCCUUGUACAAUGUGUUGAAUUCAUGUGCAAUUGCUUGUUCGUGACUUACAAGUGGAGAAGUGCCUUUGAGCCUAUCAUUCAGUUAAGUUUCCAAUUCAUUCCAGGGCAUUAUAAUUAUUAUACAUUUAUUCAAUAAUUCAAUCAGUUUGAGUACUAGUGUUUCUGAAGUAGUUCAAUUUUUUGCAUCAUCUAGUCUGUAAGUGGCAUGGUGCAUGUAACUUCGUCAGUAAGAGCCAAGUUGGUCGCUAUCUGAUUGAUUAAUGAAUGAUAUGUCAUAUAUAAUACAGCACACGAUUUGAUUAAUUGUGGCACUUAUUAGUAUACUACAUCAUUAUGAUGAGCUUUCUAAUAGUCUGAUUUGGUGGUACAAGUAAAUACAUAGUGUAGGUCUGAAGAAUAACUACUACUAUUAGUACAAGGGAAAUUAUUGUUCUGUUAUUAGAUUACAUGUUAGCCAUGAACUUACAGGAGCUUGAUUGUUCUGGAUGACCUUGGAAAGGCAACAUCUUCCUCUGAUGGAGAUUUUCUCAUGUUACCUUGAGGUUAAGGUGUUAGAAACUGCUUAUUCUGGUGUGAUUCUAAGAAGCAAUGUAGCAACAGAACUAUGAAGGAAUGAGCAGCAGAAGGGAGAAAUGAUGUCGCUGCCAUAAUAGCAUUUUUGCUCGUAAUGUAUCUCAACUUGAUUGUUGGUCAUGUACUAAUCUAAACGUAGUGUUUAUGCCACUUUAGAUAAUGUAUAUUACUGUGUUUAUGCCACUAUUGAUGUAAACCUAUGUGCUGCUGUGUGUAUGAAGAAAAAAAAUAUACUAUUGAUAUUUUUUUUU